rnacentral:rRNA from 1 species
AUUGAACGCUGGCGGCAUGCCUUACACAUGCAAGUCGAACGGCAGCACGGGUGCUUGCACCUGGUGGCGAGUGGCGAACGGGUGAGUAAUACAUCGGAACAUGUCCUGUAGUGGGGGAUAGCCCGGCGAAAGCCGGAUUAAUACCGCAUACGAUCUACGGAUGAAAGCGGGGGACCUUCGGGCCUCGCGCUAUAGGGUUGGCCGAUGGCUGAUUAGCUAGUUGGUGGGGUAAAGGCCUACCAAGGCGACGAUCAGUAGCUGGUCUGAGAGGACGACCAGCCACACUGGGACUGAGACACGGCCUAGACUCCUACGGGAGGCAGCAGUGGGGAAUUUUGGACAAUGGGCGAAAGCCUGAUCCAGCAAUGCCGCGCGUGUGAAGAAGGCCUUCGGGUUGUAAAGCACUUUUGUCCGGAAAGAAAUCCUUGGCCCUAAUACGGUCGGGGGAUGACGGUACCGGAAGAAUAAGCACCGGCUAACUACGUG